rnacentral:rRNA from 1 species
GUACACGCUGUGACUAGCAUAUCAAUAAGCGGAGGAAAAGAAACUAACAAGGAUUCCCCUAGUAACGGCGAGUGAAGCGGGAAGAGCUCAAAUUUGAAAUCUUAAAGGGUUUCCCUUUACGAAUUGUAGUUUAAAGAAGUGUUUUCUGUUGAGGUUUUGGUAAAAGUUCCUUGGAAUAGGACAUCAUAGAGGGUGAGAAUCCCGUAUUUGACCUUUACUUUCAACUUUGUGAUACACUUUCAAAGAGUCGGAUUGUUUGGGAAUGCAGUCCAAAAUGGGUGGUAAAUUUCAUCUAAAGCUAAAUAUUGGCGAGAGACCGAUAGCGAACAAGUACCGUGAGGGAAAGAUGAAAAGAACUUUGAAAAGAGAGUUAAACAGUACGUGAAAUUGUCAUAAAGGGAAGCGUUUGACACCAGUGUUGUUUUUCUGAAAAUCAAUUAAAGAACUGUUUAUGCUAAGCUGUUUAGACUUUAUCAGCUAUCUGUUUAGUUUUGAGCUUUUCUUUAAUGCACUUUUCAGUUAACAAGCCAACAUCAAUUUCCUUUUGCUGUAAAAAAGCUUGAGGAAGGUGGCUUGAGAUUCGUCUUAAGUGUUUAUAGCCUCUUGCCUAUGCAGUCGGAGAGAUUGAGGUCUGCAGCGUAGAUCCUUCGGGGCUAAAUGCAUUUGUGCUAAGUUAUAGCAUUUUAUAGACAACUUGUUGACUAUGAUUUGUCUUGUAGCUUACUCGCUUAUGUUAUUUUACCUACGCUUAGGAUGUUGAUAUGCAUGACUGAUAU